UGGGGAAUUUUGGACAAUGGGCGAAAGCCUGAUCCAGCAAUGCCGCGUGUGUGAAGAAGGCCUUCGGGUUGUAAAGCACUUUUGUCCGGAAAGAAAUCCUUGGCUCUAAUACAGUCGGGGGAUGACGGUACCGGAAGAAUAAGCACCGGCUAACUACGUGCCAGCAGCCGCGGUAAUACGUAGGGUGCAAGCGUUAAUCGGAAUUACUGGGCGUAAAGCGUGCGCAGGCGGUUUGCUAAGACCGAUGUGAAUCCCCGGGCUCAACCUGGGAACUGCAUUGGUGACUGGCAGGCUAGAGUAUGGCAGAGGGGGGUAGAAUUCCACGUGUAGCAGUGAAAUGCGUAGAGAUGUGGAGGAAUACCGAUGGCGAAGGCAGCCCCCUGGGCCAAUACUGACGCUCAUGCACGAAAGCGUGGGGAGCAAACAGGAUUAGAUACCCUGGUAGUCCACGCCCUAAACGAUGUCAACUAGUUGUUGGGGAUUCAUUUCCUUAGUAACGUAGCUAACGCGUGAAGUUGACCGCCUGGGGAGUACGGUCG
rnacentral:rRNA from 1 species